rnacentral:rRNA from 1 species
UACGUAGGGUGCAAGCGUUGUCCGGAAUUAUUGGGCGUAAAGAGCUCGUAGGCGGUUUGUUGCGUCGGCUGUGAAAUCCCGAGGCUCAACCUCGGGUCUGCAGUCGAUACGAGCAAACUAGAGUGUUGCAGGGGAGACUGGAAUUCCUGGUGUAGCGGUGGAAUGCGCAGAUAUCAGGAGGAACACCGAUGGCGAAGGCAGAUCUCUGGGCCUAACUGACGCUGAGGAGCGAAGCGUGGGGAGCGAA